UCAGAGAUAAAUUAUUUUUCUGGCAAAACUCUUGCGAAUAGCUUCGAUUUUCUUCGAACGCAUCUUAAUUAACUAUGAGAUGUACCCCUCGCA
rnacentral:sRNA from 23 species